ACAUGCAGCGAAUGGUGAACAGAAGUUACAGUGUAGGCACGUGUAGUGAAUGGUGAACAGUGAACAGAAGUUACAAUGUAGGCACGUGUAGCGAAUGGUGAGCAGUGAACAGAAGUUACAAUGUAGGCACGUGUAGCGAAUGGUGAGCAGUGAACAGAAGUUACAAGGUAGGCACGUGUAGUGAAUGGUGAACAGUGAACAGAAGUUACAAUGUAGGCACGUGUAGUGAAUGGUGAACAGAAGUUACAAUGUAGGCACAUGUAGCGAAUGGUGAUCAGUGAACAGAAGUUACAAUGUAGGCACGUGUAGCGAAUGGUGAGCAGUGAACAGAAGUUACAAGGUAGGCACGUGUAGUGAAUGGUGAACAGUGAACAGAAGUUACAAUGUAGGCACGUGUAGCGAAUGGUGAGCAGUGAACAGAAGUUACAAGGUAGGCACGUGUAGUGAAUGGUGAGCAGUGAACAGAAGUUACAAUGUAGGCACGUGUAGUGAAUGGUGAGCAGUGAACAGAAGUUACAGUGUCGGCACGUGUAGCGAAUGGUGAACAGAAGUUACAAUGUAGGCACGUGUAGCGAAUGGUGAACAGAAGUUACAAUAGUGAAACAGUGCCAGUCUCAGUGAUUUAAGCAGGACUUGGACUGCUAGUGAAACGUACAAGGGCAGCUGACUGAACAGCUCCGGCUCUUAGCCAGCAUCUCCACUGUCAAUUAGCCAGGUCUUGGGGGAACCGGUUCCAUGAACGAACCUUGUUUCAUUCCUAAAACUUUGCUUAUGAAGUUACAUGACUAAAGUGAACAGUUAAAAACAAUUUCAUUCAUCA